rnacentral:sRNA from 1 species
GCCAGGUGCAGUGGUGCACACCUGUAAUCCCAGUUGCUUGGGAAGCUGAGGCAGGAGGAUCACGAAUUCAGUGACAGCCUCAGCAACACUGAGGCCCUAACAGUGAGACCCUGUCUUUG